rnacentral:rRNA from 1 species
UACGUAGGGUGCAAGCGUUGUCCGGAAUUAUUGGGCGUAAAGAGCUUGUAGGCGGUUUGUCGCGUCUGCUGUGAAAUUUCGGGGCUCAACCCCGAACUUGCAGUGGGUACGGGCAGACUAGAGUGUGGUAGGGGAGACUGGAAUUCCUGGUGUAGCGGUGAAGUGCGCAGAUAUCAGGAGGAACACCGAUGGCGAAGGCAGGUCUCUGGGCCACUACUGACGCUGAGGAGCGAAAGCGUGGGGAGCGAACAGG